rnacentral:rRNA from 1 species
UUCCGCCACACCUUGGAACCGAGAAACUGUCAGUUCCUUACGGGAGGCAGCAGUGGGGAAUAUUGGACAAUGGGGAACCUGAUCCAGCAUGCGCGUGUGUUGAGAGCUUUGUGUAAAGCACUUAAGCGAGAGAGCUACUCUAGUAUACCUAGAGAUAGUGGACGUACUCGCAGAUAAGCACCGGCUAACUCUGUGCCAGCAGCCGCGGUAAUACAGAGGGUGCGAGCGUUAAUCGGAUUUACUGGGCGUAAAGCGUGCGUAGGCGGCUUUUUAAGUCGGAUGUGAAAUCCCUGAGCUUAACUUAGGAAUUGCAUUCGAUACUGGGAAGCUAGAGUAUGGGAGAGGAUGGUAGAAUUCCAGGUGUAGCGGUGAAAUGCGUAGAGAUCUGGAGGAAUACCGAUGGCGAAGGCAGCCAUCUGGCCUAAUACUGACGCUGAGGUACGAAAGCAUGGGGAGCAAACAGGAUUAGAUACCCUGGUAGUCCAUGCCGUAAACGAUGUCUACUAGCCGUUGGGGCCUUUGAGGCUUUAGUGGCGCAGCUAACGCGAUAAGUAGACCGCCUGGGGAGUACGGUCGCAAGACUAAAACUCAAAUGAAUUGACGGGGGCCCGCACAAGCGGUGGAGCAUGUGGUUUAAUUCGAUGCAACGCGAAGAACCUUACCUGGUC